rnacentral:rRNA from 1 species
GACGAACGCUGGCGGCGUGCUUAACACAUGCAAGUCGAACGGAAAGGCCCUGCUUUUGUGGGGUGCUCGAGUGGCGAACGGGUGAGUAACACGUGAGUAACCUGCCCUUGACUUUGGGAUAACUUCAGGAAACUGGGGCUAAUACCGGAUAGGAGCUCCUGCUGCAUGGUGGGGGUUGGAAAGUUUCGGCGGUUGGGGAUGGACUCGCGGCUUAUCAGCUUGUUGGUGGGGUAGUGGCUGACCAAGGCUUUGACGGGUAGCCGGCCUGAGAGGGUGACCGGCCACAUUGGGACUGAGAUACGGCCCAGACUCCUACGGGAGGCAGCAGUGAGGAUAUUGCACAAUGGGCGGAAGCCUGAUGCAGCAACGCCGCGUGCGGGAUGACGGCCUUCGGGUUGUAAACCGCUUUCGCCUGUGACGAAGCGUGAGUGACGGUAAUGGGUAAAGAAGCACCGGCUAACUACGUG